rnacentral:ncRNA from 2 species
CGCAUGUUUCCGGGGAUGCCGUGUGCGGCAUGAGAGUCGGUAAAAGCCGAGACCCGUCGAACCUGUCAGUUAACACUGUCGAAGGGAGAAACAUAGUGUAACCC